GACGAACGCUGGCGGCGUGCUUAACACAUGCAAGUCGAACGGAAAGGCCUCUUUCGGGGGGUACUCGAGUGGCGAACGGGUGAGUAACACGUGAGUAACCUGCCCUUGACUUUGGGAUAACUUCAGGAAACUGGGGCUAAUACCGGAUAGGAGCUCCUGCUGCAUGGUGGGGGUUGGAAAGUUUCGGCGGUUGGGGAUGGACUCGCGGCUUAUCAGCUUGUUGGUGGGGUAGUGGCUUACCAAGGCUUUGACGGGUAGCCGGCCUGAGAGGGUGACCGGCCACAUUGGGACUGAGAGACGGCCCAGACUCCUACGGGAGGCAGCAGUGGGGAAUACUGCACAAUGGGUGGAAGCCUGAUGCAGCAACGCCGUGUGCGGGAUGACGGCCUUCGGGUUGUAAACCGCUUUCGCUCAUGACGAAGCUUUGUGUGACGGUAGUGGGUAAAGAAGCACCGGCUAACUACGUG
rnacentral:rRNA from 1 species